rnacentral:rRNA from 1 species
UACGAAGGGGGCUAGCGUUGUUCGGAAUUACUGGGCGUAAAGCGCACGUAGGCGGUGUUCCAUGUCAGAGGUGAAAGCCUGGGGCUCAACCCCAGAAUUGCCUUUGAAACGGGGACGCUUGAGUCCGAGAGAGGAUGGCGGAAUUCCUAGUGUAGAGGUGAAAUUCGUAGAUAUUAGGAAGAACACCGGUGGCGAAGGCGGCCAUCUGGCUCGGUACUGACGCUCAGGUGCGAAAGCGUGGGGAGCAAACAGG